GGGCCCGCACAAGCGGUGGAGUAUGUGGUUUAAUUCGAUGCAACGCGAAGAACCUUACCAGGGUUUGACAUCCUGCGAAUCUCUUGGAAACGAGAGAGUGCCUUCGGGAACGCAGUGACAGGUGGUGCAUGGCUGUCGUCAGCUCGUGUCGUGAGAUGUUGGGUUAAGUCCCGCAACGAGCGCAACCCACGUCUUUAGUUGCCAGCAUUUAGUUGGGCACUCUAGAGAGACUGCCGGUGAUAAACCGGAGGAAGGUGUGGAUGACGUCAAGUCAUCAUGCCCCUUACAUCCUGGGCUACACACGUACUACAAUGCUACGGACAAAGGGCUGCAAGUUCGCGAGGACAAGCAAA
rnacentral:rRNA from 1 species